rnacentral:rRNA from 1 species
CCUACGGUGGGCAGCAGUGAGGAAUAUUGGUCAAUGGGCGGAAGCCUGAACCAGCCAAGUAGCGUGCAGGAUGACGGCCCUACGGGUUGUAAACCUCUUUUGUCGGGGAGCAAAGCGAGUCACGUGUGACUCAUUGAGAGUACCCGAAGAAAAAGCAUCGGCUAACUCCGUGCCAGCAGCCGCGGUAAUACGGAGGAUGCGAGCGUUAUCCGGAUUUAUUGGGGUUAAAGGGUGCGCAGGCGGAGGUGCAAGUCAGCGGUCAAAUUGCGGGGCUCAACCCCGUACUGCCGUUGAAACUGCAUCCCUUGAGUGCGCGAGAGGUAUGCGGAAUGCGUGGUGUAGCGGUGAAAUGCAUAGAUAUCACGCAGAACUCCGAUUGCGAAGGCAGCAUACCGGCGCGCAACUGACGCUCAUGCACGAAAGCGUGGGUAUCGAACAGGAUUAGAUACCCGGGUAGUC